rnacentral:rRNA from 1 species
AUACGUAGGUGGCAAGCGUUGUCCGGAUUUACUGGGUGUAAAGGGCGUGCAGCCGGGGAAGCAAGUCAGGUGUGAAAUGCAGAGGCUUAACCUCUGAAUUGCAUUUGAAACUGUUUUUCUUGAGUACUGGAGGGGCAAUCGGAAUUCCUAGUGUAGCGGUGAAAUGCGUAGAUAUUAGGAGGAACACCGGUGGCGAAGGCGACUGUAUGGACGACAACUGACGCUGAGACGCGAAAGCGUCGGGAGCAAACAGGAGUAGAUACCCUGGUAGUCCACGCUGUAAACGAUGAAUACUAGGUGUAGGGGGUAUCGACUCCCCCUGUGCCGCAGCUAACGCAUUAAGUAUUCCACCUGAGUAGUACGGUUGCAAGACUGAAACUCAAAUGAAUUGGCGGGG